rnacentral:misc_RNA from 1 species
UCCUGGUUAACCCAGGCAGUCUCACUAGAGUUCCCACCUAAAAUGUUGGCAACUAAUGAUAAGGGUUGCGCUCGUUGCGGGACUUAACCCAACACCUCACGGCACGAGCUGACGACAGCCAUGCAGCACCUGUGCAAUAGCCCCGAAGGGAGAUUCUAUUUCUAGAACUGUCUACUGCAUGUCAAGCCUGGGUAAGGUUCUUCGCGUUGCAUCGAAUUAAACCACAUGCUCCACUGCUUGUGCGGGUCCCCGUCAAUUCUUUUGAGUUUCAGCCUUGCGACUGUACUCCCCAGGCGGUAUACUUAACGCGUUAGCUUCGGCACAAUUAGGGUUGAUUCCAAUUACACCAAGUAUACAUCGUUUACAGCAAGGACUAC